rnacentral:rRNA from 1 species
AUUGAACGCUGGCGGCAGGCCUAACACAUGCAAGUCGAGCGGUUGAGAGUAGCUUGCUACUUGAUGCAGCGGCGGACGGGUGAGUAACGCGUGGGAAUCUGCCCAGUAGUGGGGGACAACAGCCGGAAACGGCGGCUAAUACCGCAUACGCCCUACGGGGGAAAGGGGGGGAUCGUCGGACCUCGCGCUAUGGGAUGAGCCGGCGUCGGAUUAGCUAGUUGGUAGGGUAAAGGCCUACCAAGGCUACGAUCCGUAACUGGUCUGAGAGGAUGAUCAGUCACACUGGAACUGAGACACGGUCCAGACUCCUAUGGGAGGCAGCAGUGGGGAAUAUUGGACAAUGGGGGAAACCCUGAUCCAGCCAUGCCGCGUGUGUGAAGAAGGCCUUAGGGUUGUAAAGCACUUUCAGUGGGGAGAAAGGUUUGUCACCUAAUACGUGAUGAAAUUGAUGUUACCCACAGAAGAAGCACCGGCUAACUCCGUGCCAGCCGCCGCUGUAA